rnacentral:rRNA from 1 species
UAGGGAAUCUUCCACAAUGGACGAAAGUCUGAUGGAGCAACGCCGCGUGAGUGAAGAAGGGUUUCGGCUCGUAAAGCUCUGUUGUUAAAGAAGAACGUGGGUAAGAGUAACUGUUUACCCAGUGACGGUAUUUAACCAGAAAGCCGCGGCUAACUGCGUGCCAG